rnacentral:rRNA from 1 species
UACCAGCACCCCGAGUGGUCGGGACGAUUAUUGGGCCUAAAGCAUCCGUAGCCGGCCUUACAAGUCCUCCGUUAAAUCCAGCUGCUUAACAGAUGGGCUGCGGAGGAUACUAUAAGACUAGGAGGCAGGAGAGGCAAGCGGUACUCAGUGGGUAGGGGUAAAAUCCGUUGAUCCAUUGAAGACCACCAGUGGCGAAGGCGGUUCUCUGGGACGGUACUGACGCUGAGACGCGAAAGCGUGGGGAGCGAACAGG